rfam:Heterocephalus glaber contig194183, whole genome shotgun sequence.
UUGCUGGGCUAAGAAGGAGGCUGUUAUUAUGGUCUUCAUUUUAUUAUUAAACA